GCCAAAUUGUAUGUAAUGCCGCAAAUUUUACCUAAACCCGCCCAAAUUCAAGCUGACAAAAGCAAACCAACAAUACUAUAUCAAAGAAUUCGAACACAAGUCCUGGAGUAUAACACCACCGGUUCUCUCUCUAAUUGCUGAUAAGUUUCACCAUUGGUUGAUUACGAGCUAAGAAACUUAGCAAUUUACGGUGGUCAGUCAGUAUCCCGCUCAUCAACUCCCUGAUAAGCCAAAGUUCGCAUUGCAUCUGAGUUUAUUUCUUUAAUCAAUGGCUUCUACAGAUGAUGCUGAUGACAAGGCUAAGUCCCCGUCCUCGCCAAAAGUUGUCUACAAGGAUCCAGAUGAUGGUCGACAACGCUUUUUGCUUGAAUUGGAGUUUGUUCAGUGUCUUUCGAAUCCAACUUACAUCCAUUAUUUGGCACAGAAUCGCUACUUCGAAGACGAAGCUUUUGUUGGUUAUUUGAAUUACCUUCAAUAUUGGCAGCGACCGGAGUAUUUAAAAUUUAUAAUGUAUCCGCACUGCUUGUACUUUCUCGAGCUUUUACAAAAUGCAAACUUCCGCAAUGCAAUGGCUCAUCCUGGGAAUAAGGAAUUGGCACACAGACAACAGUUCUAUUUCUGGAAGAACUACAGAAACAACAGGUUGAAGCACAUUUUACCCAGACCCCUUCCUGAAUCUGCUCCUGAUCCUCCAGCUCCAACUGCUGCCCCAUUACGCCUUCCUCCGGCAAUUCCUCCCACGUCUGGGCCCUCUGUAGCCGUUCCUCCUAUGCAAUUUGCAAACGCUCCUGGGUCUGUUGUUGCAAAGAAUGAUACAAGGAAUAGUGGCAUUGAUCGAAGAAAGAGAAAGAAAGAUGGUUGAGUCCUUGCUGGAUAUGUCACUGGUGGAUCUAUUCUCCACUGUUUAAUUAAGGAAGCAUGAGUAUGGUUUCUGGUCGUCAAAGUUGUAGAUGUACCCAUGAACUUUCAUAAUUCUAUUGUACACUUGUGUGUACAUAGAAGAAGAGAUGCCAUAUGUUUUUCUAAGUGGUGCGUGCACAAUAUGCACCCCUAUGCCUGUCACACGUAGUGCCAUCUUAUGCCUGAUUUUCUGUUAUACGUACGUGGUGCGUGACUCACCACACUUGGUGUGUGUAUAUGAAAUCUUCUCCAUGGGAUGGCGGAUUGACGAUUGUGUUUUACAUACGGACCAAAAGACUCAUUUCAAAGUAGAUCUUGUCACUCCUUUCUCGCGCCACUUUUUUUCUAAAAGCACUCUUCUUUUCCAACAAGGCAAUUUAGGGUCAUCAAUAGACAAUGUCUAAUGAAUGGGUGGGUUCAUCUUCAUCAGUUCUAAAUCUUAAGAAGUAUCUUCUGCACUCAACGGAGGUAUCUUGCUAAGCCCACCUCAAUCUAUAGCUAUUGUGUGCUAUAGGCGAGAUUAUGGAUUAGCCGACACUAGUGAUCCAUCUGUUGUGAUUGUAGAUAAUGGGUUUUUGCAAUUAGGGUUCGGAUUUUAAUGGGAAUUAACUUAGAUGAGAAGAAAAAGGUAAUGCUGUUGUGUUAGGGAGGUGGUUAUGAUGUCAUCAGUUUUUAUUAGGUAUGAGAAUGUAGUCCCCGCUUUCUCCGAUCAUUGUUUUGCUAAAGAAGUUUCCAUUUCUUUGUAGGAUGUAUUUUUUAGGAACUAAUUAAGUUAAUGGAAGGAAAGAGACGAUAGUUGCAGAUACUAAUUUUAUCUUUAGUCAAUACUAAAUGUUGUCUAUGAGUGUGAUCGGGAGAGUUGUGUUUCAUGUCUGAAUAUUGCAACCUAUUUUGAAGAAAUGCUAUCCUAUCGGAUAGUUUGUGGGUAGAAAAAACCUCCACUGAAGUUGACUAUACAACAAGUCUUAAAAUAGAAAGGGAAAGAGUGAAAAACAGCAUAGAAUCUAUUAUAGAGGGUUCUCAUCAUCUCAUGUGAACGAUCAGAGAUUGCUCUAAUCGCAAAACUAUCCUAUCUAAAUACCUAUUCUUGUAGCUCAUUUGCUUUCUUCCAAGUUACCAUUUCAAGUGUAUUUGGGGUUAUCUAUAAUUUACCGAUGUGUUAUUGCAUUUUCCAUGUUGUACCUAUUGUUUUUUAAAGUUACACGUGGUACUCUUAAGUCCAUUAAGUUAGAAAUUUAC